ACUGCUAGACGUUUCUCAAGUGGUGCCUGUUUAAGGCCAUUUUAUUUGACAUGAGGUAAACUCCCUCCUUUGCUCCUGUAUGCUACAGUUCCUUUCCAACUGCUACAAUGUUGCACUGUAGGUCCUGUAUGCUACAGUCCCAGUCCAACUGCUAAGAGUGGCACUAGGUCCUGUGGCUACAGAUCCUGUCCAGCUGCUACAAUGUAGCACUGUAGGUCCUGUGGCUACAGUUCCUGUUCAGCUGCUACAAUGUAGCACUAUAGGUCCUGUGGCUACAGUUCCUGUUCAGCUGCUACAAUGUAGCACUAUAGGUCCUGUGGCUACAGUUCCUGUUCAGCUGCUACAAUGUAGCACUAUAGCUAUAGGUCCUGUGGCUACAGUUCCUGUUCAGCUGCUACAAUGUAGCACUGUAGGUCCUGUGUCUACAGUUCCUAUUCAGCUGCUACAGUGUAGCACUGUAGGUCGUGUUGCUACAGUUCCUCAUUUCUGAGUUGAGAAUAGAAAGUUGACUGCAGGUGAGACUGUACAAACAUGGCUAUGAGGCUACUUUCCAUUUAAUCUGCCUUAUCCAGGUAAAAGCUAGUUUCUUUUUUUUUUAAUUUUGCACAAAGUACCAUUUCAUUAUGAGACUUGGCUACGCCUAGCGGACAGGUUAUCGUGACCAAACCAGACGCAUCAGUGCUGCUGUCUAACCUGGUUCAGGGCAGGUAAAGGUGAACAUCAGACAGGUGUGCUGAAGUAUCACGGCCAGGUGAACAUCAGACAGGUGUGCUGAAGUAUCACGGCCAGGUGAACAUCAGACAGGUGUGCUGAAGUAUCACGGCCAGGUGAACAUCUGGGUACUUUCCUGCCAUAUGAAUCCUCAUAGCAUUCACUUGGAAGUUACCAUUUCUUACAGUCAGUGGAAGUUACCAUUUCUUACAGUCAGUAGGCACUUUUAGCUUUACUUCACAUACAAUUUUAGCACCUCCAGAACGGAAGUUGGUCCCAGCACCCCAGUGGGUGAGGUGUGGAAACUGUUGCGUAAAAUAUGAACAGUACAAGCCUUCUCCACAGUGUGUGGUACUUUACUUCUUGGGUUCUGCACACUUGGUCCUUAGGUCACCUUUAACCUGUCCUUAGUUCACCUUUAACCUGUCCUUAGUUCACCUUUAAGCUGUCCUUAGUUCACCUUUAACCUGUCCUUAGUUCACCUUUACCUGCCCUUAGUUGACCUUUAACCUGUCCUUGGUUGGUGGUUUCACACAAGUAUCUACCUUGGCAUAAGUUCAUGAUCAGCACCAUCAGCAUUUACAACUACAUUGUAGUGAUGUUUCAGUAAGAAACUGCAGACUAGUCUCUACAGGAGCUACAGUAAAAUGUACACAUCAGAUUUUUGGUUUCCUCCAUCAGACCUCUUCCACAUUCUCAUCUAUGUACAGUUACUAAAAUAAAGGUCUUCUCUUUUUGCAUAUUUUCCAUAAUUUUCAUCUGCUUCAUUUUAAAUAACAAAUUCCUGUCACAGAAACAAGUUUAGGUGAAAAAAACAGCCUAGCUUCCUACAAUUCACAUCCUUGUACAUGUGCUAAAACCUAGGGAGGACCAGCUAAAGCCCAUUGCAGAAACACAAGUAUAUGCAGUCAACAAUAUGCUGGCAAACUAGUACAAAAUAUGAAAUACAAAACAAUUGUAGACAUAAACACUUAAAGAAAUCUGAAUCCCUUCAUGCAUCUUAUCCCAUCUACACACAAAUUAAUUUGUUUCUUCAUUAUUUUUGCAUGUAAGUUUAAUUUACCUUGGCCAGAACAUUUCCUUGCAGGUUGGUGGGUAACAGUCAGACUACCCUCCCACUCCAGAACAAAGCACAGAAUUAUGCCAGAACGAUGGCUUCACAGCUCCGCUCAUGGGCAGAAAGGUUUUGUUUCCAUUCAACAAUUACCGAAUUUCUAAAGUAAUUCCAUAAUCUGUGAAAGGACAGGUCUUUAAAUACCAAAAGCUUAGGUUUUAGAAAAAGGACAACUAAGUUGUUUUGAAAACAGCUUUAGAAGAAAAAUGAAACUUGAGAACAGGCUACGGGUACUGGAGGCUGUGCCCUUGUAUAACAGCAUAUUUUCUGCAAAUUCUCCAAAGUUUUCCUUGCCAUGUCAUACAGGUGAACUUUCUGCAUGUUGCCAGUUGUACCUACAUUUUGUCACUUCAUGUUACCAGUUUUAGCAAACAGUGUAGCAAAAUACGUGGCAAGAGUCAUGAUUGCACAAACCUACAGAUGAGAAUUUGGAAAGUUCAGCUGUUUUCUGAGAACUUAGCGGAGCCCAAAAUU